AUGGCUGAAGGUGUAUCAGUAGUUGCUGAAUCUCUCGCGGGCGGCGGGGCGCGCGUUGCGCGCUCAGUACUAGGUCAGGUGGUGCUCCCGGGUGAGGAGCUGCUCCUGCCGGAACAGGAGGACGCGGAAGGCCCUGGCGGUGCAGGGGAGCGACCGUUGAGCCUGAAUGCUGGAGCUUGCUCGCGGGUGCGCGUUAUUUGCGGCCCGGGCUUGCGGCGCUGUGGGGACCGCCUGCUGGUCACCAAGUGCGGCCGCCUCCGUCACAAAGAGCCCGGCGGUGGCGGCGGCGGCGGCGGCGGCGUUUACUGGGUGGACUCUCAGCAGAAGCGGUAUGUUCCAGUGAAAGGAGACCAUGUGAUUGGCAUAGUGACAGCUAAAUCUGGAGAUAUAUUCAAAGUUGAUGUUGGAGGGAGUGAGCCGGCUUCUUUGUCUUACUUGUCAUUUGAAGGUGCAACUAAAAGAAACAGACCAAAUGUGCAGGUUGGAGAUCUCAUCUAUGGCCAAUUUGUGGUUGCUAAUAAAGACAUGGAACCAGAGAUGGUCUGUAUUGACAGCUGUGGACGAGCCAAUGGAAUGGGUGUCAUUGGACAGGAUGGUCUGCUUUUUAAAGUGACUUUGGGCUUAAUUAGAAAGCUAUUAGCUCCAGAUUGUGAAAUCAUACAGGAAGUGGGAAAACUCUAUCCACUGGAGAUAGUAUUUGGAAUGAAUGGAAGAAUAUGGGUUAAGGCAAAAACCAUCCAACAAACUUUAAUUUUGGCAAACAUUUUAGAAGCUUGUGAACACAUGACAUCAGAUCAAAGAAAACAAAUCUUCUCCAGACUGGCAGAAAGUUGAUACAGCAUUAAAAAUAAGUAGCCUACUGUGGGAUGGAAGAAACUGCAGAUAAUGAGUAAACUGUCUCAAGAAAGAGCUUAUGUGACAUCUCACUUUUUGGAGGAUCACUUAUCCACAGUCCUCCACUCAUUACCACUUAAAACCAAGAGGAAAAUAAGCAAAAGAGGCACAUCUGCGGCUACAGCGUCAAAAGGCCCAAGCAGUCUAAUCAGUCGGAGCACAUUCCAGGCCCUAACUAGACUUCUCCAAGUGGCCACGUGGACUCAACGGACAGCUCUUGUGACAAGGAAUUCAUGCCUGGGACGAUCCACUCCCAACUUUGAUAGUACCAGCUGACAGGAUAGUCUUUUUGAUCUUGAGACAAAUUCUCUAUUUUCUGAGACUUCUACUCAUUCAUCCUAGUCUAUUUCCCUAAGGCCAGACCAUACAAGAUGGCCCUUCCACAAGAUGGCCAUUCAGAAACUUGAAGACAGUGGUCAUGCCCCUAGGAAUCCUCUGGUUUCCAGAUUGUAGCCUCUGUUUUGUUAGCUCUUCUUUGACUAUGACUUAGUUUCAAGUCCCCUCAUCGUUCAGCUAGAACUUGUUCUAGCUAGUCAAUAUCUUUUUGUUUACAGUCCCAUAACUGGCCAUCAUGAGUGUGGUCUAACCAGGUGGAAUAGUGUGAAGCGGACCUAGUACCUUUUUGGUGCUGAAACUGGAUUACCUGACUCUCACGUAAAACACAAUUUUAAGAGAGAAAUUCCAAAAAUGUUUUAAGUGAUGCAACUCUGAUAAGGACUUAUUCGAAAGGAUAAAACUCCUUUGCAUAGGCCAGGUGCAGUGGCUCACAUCUGUAAUCCCAGCAUUUUGGGAGGCUGAGGUGGACAGAUCACAAAGUCAGGAGUUUGAGACCAACCUGGCCAAUAUGAUGAAACCCCGUCUCUACUAAAAAUACAUAAAUUAGCUGGGCAUGCUGGUGGGUGCCUGUAGUCCCAGCUACUUGGGAGGCUGAGGAUCACUGGAACCCGGGAGGUGGAGGUUGCAGUAAGCCGAGAUCACACCACUACACUCCAGCCUGGGUGACAGAGCAAGACUCCAUCUCAAAAAAAAUAACUCCUUUGCAUAUAUGAGCUAUGAUAGGUUUUUUUUUUUCCAAGUUUCAUUCCUUAUAAUCACUUCGAACUGAGUACAGAAUUCAAAGUUAGAGUAGGAUAUCUGGGUGUUGCUCUAGAAAAGCUUACAAUCUAGUUUCUGUUUUUUGCACAAUGAUUCAUGAUAAAAUGACUCUCCUUGAAGAAAUGUUCUUAGCUUAUUUCUGUGAAGAAGCCAAACUCCAGUAACAACCAAAAAGUUAUAAACAUCUCACAAAUCUUCCAGUUAUUUUUCAGUUUAAACGUUGGUGGGCAGAUGAACACAAUGUGUUAAAACUACACAUCUAUAAGUCAUGCACUGCUCACUGACCCUCUGAACUUAACUACCUCAAAAUAGGGACAGUCACCUUGGCACCAUGGUUCAUGCCCACAAUUUCUCAGCACUUUGGGAGGCUGAGGCAUGUGGGUCACUUGAGCCCAGGAGUUCAAGACCAGCAUGAGCAAUAUGGUGAAAACUCAACAAAAAAAUUAGCUGGGCUUUGUGGCACCCACCUGUGGUCCCAGCUACUUGGGAAGCUGAAGUGGGGACAUAAUUGAGCCUGGGAGGUUGAGGCUGCAGUGAGCUGUGAUUGUGCCAGUGCCCUCCAGCCUGGGCAGCAGAUCAAGGACCUGUUUAAAACAAAGGGGGUUGGCGGGGGCUGUCACCCCACUGCAGGAAAGACUAAUAAACUUUUAACUAAUUUAUUUAUUAUUAUUUUUUAUAGACAGGGUCUCACUGUGUCGCAUAACCCAGGCUGGAGUACGGUGGGGUGAUCACAGUUCUCUGUAGCCUCUAACUCCUGGGUUCAAGCAGUCCUCCAGCCCUCCAGAUUUUUCACUUUGAAAUAUUUCGAAACUAAGAAAAGUUAAAAAUAAUAAUACAAUCAAUACUCCUUCCUGUAAUCUAGAAUCACCAGUUGUUGUUAAUAUUUUGCUUCUCUCUCUCGGUAUAUAAAUACAUAUUUUGGGCUGGGCAUGGUGGUUCAUGACUACAGUCUGUUUUUGGAGGCUGAGACAGAAGGAUUGCUUGAGGCCUGAAGUUUAAGACCAGCCUGAGCAAUGUGGCAAGACUUCGUCUCUAACAAACAUACAAAAAAAAAAUUAGCUGUCUGUGGUAGCAUGAGCCUAUAGUUCUAGGUACUCAGGGGGCUGAGGUGGGAGGAUUGCUUGAGACCAGGAGUUCAAGAUUGCAGCAAGCUAUGAUUGCACCACCUCACUCAGCCUGGAUGACAGAGCAAGACCUUGUUGCAAUAAAAGAUAAAAUUGCCGAACCAUCUGAAAGUAAGCUACAGACAUCACAAUACUUCUUCACUAAAUACUUAAGCAUGCAUCUAAGAAACAAUGACAUUCUCCUACCUUACCACAAUGUCAUUUUCACCUCAAAGAAACUUUUAUUCUGUAAUUUCACUUAAUACAUAAUGUAUAUUAAAAUCUCCCCAACUCUCCCCAAACUGUCUUUUAUAAAGCUUUCCUCUCAAUACAGAAUUCAAUCAAGGCUCACAUACUACAUUUGGCUAUAAUGGUUUUUUAACCUUUUUCCUAAUUUUUUUGUAGAGAUGGGUUCUCACCAUGUUGCCCAGGCUGAUCUCAGACUUGUAGCCUCAAGUGAUCCUCCUUCCUUGGCCUCCCUAAGUGCUUCUCAAGCUCCUGGCCUCAAGUGAUCUGCCUGCUUUGGCCUCCCUAAGUGCUGGGAUUACAGUCAUGAGCCACUGUGCCUGGCCGAACCUCUUCAAUCUAAAACAGCCUCCUGCCUUAGUCCAGUUGUUGGGCAGAAUAUCCCACAUUCUGGAUUUGUCUGUUUCCUCAUGAUUAAAUUCAGUUUAAAUAUUUUCUGAGCCAGGUGAGUUGACUCACACCUAUAAUCCCAGCACUCUGGGAGGCCAAGGUGAGAGGAUUACCUGAGUCCAAGAGUUCCAGACCACCCUGGGCUACACAGUGAGAUCCUGUCUCUACAAAAUGUUUUAAAAACUAGGCUGGGCUCAGUAGCUCAUACUUGUAAUCCCAGCAAUUUGAGAGGCGGAGGCAGAAGGAUUGCUUGAGCCCAGGAGUUUGAGACCAGUCUAGGCAACAUACUGAGACUCUUGUCUCUACAAAAAAAAUUCUAAAAGUAGGCCAGGCACAGUGACUUAUGCCUGUAAUCCUAGCAAUUUGGGAGGCUGAGGUGGGUAGAUUGCUUGAGUCCAGGAGUUCAAGACCAGCCUGAGAAACAUGGCCAGACCCUGUCUGUACAAAAAAUACAAAAAUUAGCUGGGCGAGGUCCACAUACUUGUUAUCCCACCUACCCAGGAGGCUGAGAUGGGCGGUUCAAAUGAGCCCACAAAAUUGAGGGUGUAGUGAGCCAUGAUCAUACCACUGCACUCCAGCCUGGGCAACAGAAUGAGACCACGUCUCAAAAAAUAUAUAUAUAUAUUAAAUUAAAAACUAGCUAGUCAGGUGGCAUGGUCCUGUAGUCCCAGCCACUCAGGAGGCUCAGGUGGUGGGAGGAUUGCUUGAGCCCAGGAGUUCGAGGUUGCAGUGAGCCAUGAUCACUCCAGAGCACUCUAGCCUGGCCAACAGAGCAAGGCCCUGCUUCAAAAUAAGAAAAGAAAAAGAAAAGCUUUUUGGCAAGAAUACUUCACCUCCGGAGGCAGAGAUUGUACCUCUAUGAGUGAUACUAAGUUUGAUCAAGUUUAGAUAAGAUGGUGACCACCGGAAUGCUUUACUGUAACUGUAAAUCUCUGCCUCUGUUAUCUGUAGGGUGCUACUUAGAGACCAUGUAAAUAGCCAGUUCCUCCACAACCUUUCUUUCAAUUGUCUGAGUCAAUGAUUAUAUUAGGAGUGACAAAAUGAUGAUACUCUAAUUCUAUUAUGCAUUCCUUAUUUAUUAGCUGGUGUUCUUCUGUAAGUACCCCUUACUCAUUUUCUAGAUGAUCACUAUGGAGUCAUGGAAUACGAAUGUUUUUUAAAUAAAUGCAGUUAAAUUAACCUA